GUCAAAUAAGAACACAGUGCUGGGUUCUCAUCCACCUCAUUCACCAGAGCUGGCACCAUGUGCCUCCUGGCUCUCUCCAAAGUGAAGAUGACCACGAAAGGUCAGCGUCUUGACUGCAUUCAGGACGCUGAGGAGCCAGGACGGCCCAACUUAAAGACCCUCAGGAAAGAGGACUCCAGAGCUGCUGCAGAAAGUAGAGAGGACGCACAUACAGAAGAACAAAGAUAAGCAAGAAGCUACUUGUGCUGGAAGACAAGACAGCCAACACCACCAGCCAACCAAAGCACUCUGGGACAGAACACGAGCAGCGCGCUGUGUGUGCAUAAAAAUAGAAUAGAGCCACGGGUUUGUCUUUUUUUUUUUUUUGUACCGGAAAUCGAACUCGGGACCUUGUGCUUGCCAGGCAGGAGCUUGUGCGCUGAGCUAUAUUCCCGGCCUAGCCGUGGGUUUAAAAGCCAGAGUGCAGCAGGAGCCGGGAGCACACAACAGCACUCAGCCGAAGUGGUGAUCGGGUGGAGCCCGGCUCCCGGGAAGCGACCUGUCCACAGGCAGGCACAGUGCUGCUGAGGGUGGAGGGCAGUGGGCAGUCGGCUCAGGCGAAGGCUGGGCCCUCCUCGCCAUCCCUGGGUCGCCUGCCACUGCUGGCUUUGAUGUCCAUCCCCACCCCCGUGGGGCCCAGCCGUGCCCAGGCCUAGGGAGGUGGACACCUCAGAGGGAGGGCAGGAGAGACGGAGGGGCCAGGGAGGGCAGAGUGAGAAGUGAGGGGCCACAGACUGUCCCCUGAGCCCCUGAGAGGCCGCAAGGCGCCCCCUCAGCAGCCCCAGUGAGCUCUCCGUGGCCUCUCCAGGCAGUGCCCUGCCCUGGGCAGCUCUGGAGGGUGAGGCCGUGUGACCUCGGGUCCUAACCCUAUCCGUCCUGUGCAGGGGCCCGGCUGGCACCACUGGCCCGGGAGCCCCGAGCUUGCCCACAGGACCCUCCGCCAGCCCAGGCCCCAGGAGGGAAGCACACAGCAUCCAGGUCUCCAGAUGUCCCCUUCGGGUCUGUCAGGGAUGGACAGAAAGGCACCUGUUACACGUGUUAAAAACGAAGACCCACUGAGAAUGCAGCCGGAGACUUCCGCACGCUGAGGUCUGCUGCAGAAAUGUGAAGGAGAAAAAGAAAGGUGACCCUUCAGGAAUGGAGGAUUGGUUUGCAUUUCCAAAUAUCCAUUCCGGUCAGACCUUAUUCCUGGUAAAUGCUCAAGAAAUGCACGUUGACCGGCUGUUGGCUUCAUUCCUACCGUAAAGGUUUUUAAAUACAGUCACCCUUGAUAAGGGAGGCGGGUGGGCACCAGGACCCCAUGCGGGUACCAAAGCCAGCCCAUGCUCAUGUCCCUGCUCCAAGUGAGGUCGUGUUUCGUGUAACCAUGCACACGCUGUGAACUCUGAGUCAUCCCCGGACGCCUUCUGACACCUCACGGCCGUGUGAGUGCUCGGGAGACUGUGGUGGCUGGGGGUAAGCACAGGAUGCAGUUUAUUUCAGGACAGAUGUGGCGGUCAGUGGCUCAGUCCCUGACAGAAACCAGAGGAGCACAGAGCUCACCGAGAGCCCAGCACAGGACACCGCGGGAGGGGACAGCAGCUGCCCUCACGCCAGUGGACCCAGCAAGUGGAUCCAGCUCAGCACACGGCAAAUUCAGGCUCUGAUUUGGGAACUUUCGGGAACUGUGUCUUCUGAAUAUUUCCCAUCAGAGUUUCAACAGAUCCAGAGACGUGGUCCCCGCAGAUGAGGACAGACGCACUGUGUAGGCACCAGCUACGUUCUUUGGGGAGGGCAUCCCCAUAAAUAAACUAGGUGGCUUUCUGCCA